rnacentral:rRNA from 1 species
UACGUAGGGGUGCGCGUUGUUCGGAAUUAUUGGGCGUAAAGGGCGCGUAGGCGGUCGGAUAAGUCUUGUGUGAAAUCUUCGGGCUCAACUCGAAGUCUGCACAGGAAACUAUCUGGCUUGAGUGUGGGAGAGGUGAGUGGAAUUCCUGGUGUAGCGGUGAAAUGCGUAGAUAUCAGGAGGAACACCUGUGGCGAAAGCGGCUCACUGGACCACAACUGACGCUGAGGCGCGAAAGCUAGGGGAGCAAACAGG